ensembl:lncRNA
AGGUUUACUGUCUAAAAGGCCUUUUGAAGAUCCAACAAAAUCAUCUCAGUGUAGUAGCCUCUCUCAUUUCCCACCCUCACAUGAUCAAAAAGCUCAUCGAGACAGCUUUCUGUGGAUGUGGCUUUUCUCAACCAGAUUGAUGUCCAUGAAAUAGUUAUAAGUGCUGCAGAAGGUAUUCCUCAGGUUGGUUGAAAACUGACUCUCAAAUACAUUGUGCGAGACCAAACAUGCAGUUUUACAUAUGUGUGCUUUUCUUCUGUGUUACCAGUGCACAUCUUCAGGAUGGUCCGUUAAGUCAGUGGUCCCCAACCUCUUUUGUCCCACGGACUAGUUGCAUUUUAGAAAAUAUUUCACGGACCGGUCAAAUGACCAGCCACCGGGGGGAGGGGGUCAGCAGUCGCUGCGCACAACAAAAAUAAAUGAAACGAUUGGGUGACCCUUGGGAAAUGUCUCAUGAGGAACAAGCACAUGUAAUUGGGAGGGAAUCCGGUCAUUUUUCAUUGAUUUCUCACAAAAAAUAAAAAUGAAAUGAAUGGUUGGGACUGUUUAGCGCUUAGAAAAAAAGGUUUUAAGUCCCUCAACAAAUAAAAAGAUUCUCUUCAGAAAAUGUAGUCACCAAACACACGUAUACAGUACAACCCAUGUAAAAACACCGUAAGAUCAUAAUACUGAGGGAAAACUGGAGAGGAAUGAUAAUGAGGUGGGGAGGAGUUUGGUCUCAGAGCUGACCAUUAACCACAGCAGCCUGUGUCAGCAGUUUCUAGUUUCUUAUCUUUGACUACUCCUGUUUUUCUUUCUUCUAGAACAACACUAAAAGCAAUUCCAUCAGGAGAGACUUCUGAACUUCUAACAAUGAUUUAUUAACAAGUAUAAGUGUUAAAAAUGCAAAGUUUGUUUGGGCUUGGACUCCAUCCAGCCGUAGGAUCGACCCGGGAUGCCGAGAUCAGAUGAGGCAUAUCCCCCCUUUGGUGGUGGUGGUAGAGAAUAAGUUGCUUCCCGCUUUCGAUAUGCCAGAUUCCCCUACUGAUUAGAGGUGGUGGAGGGUUGCGUCUGGUGCUUGCUGAAAUGACAACUGACAGCAACAGAGAUGAGAACAGCUUUCAAGGUUGACAGCCUUGACACGAUUGGUUUACAGAAACGGUGCCUCUGCCCCCAAUCAGCUUAUGGCGUACCCACAUAGACAGCGGGACCCUAGGGCAGGCAUUAGCUUCUCCAGUCUUCCUGCCUGAAUUUAUGCCUAAGCUUCAUUAAACUCCAUCUGGAGGUUAUCAACACAGAGGAGUCACGAGGAAAGUCAGGAGCAAAAAAAACUUUGGAGCAGCUGCUGUGAACAGUAAAUGUCGGCAAAACCCUGUGGAAUCUCUUUUUUUAUAUUGGAGCCUGUGUUAGCAGGUGUAGAUCAACCACCAAGCUGAUCUAGAGAUUUUUGAUGCAUUGCCUUUUUUUAUGUUAAUGCGCGCAGUUGGAAGCAGAAAUUCGACGUGAACAUUGUCUCUUAACAGUAUCUUACUACAGUUUUAUUAUAUGUUAUUCUAGCUCUGUAGGGAUGAGUUUUACAGAUUUUUUUACAAUCGCUAGGACACUUUUCAAUAUAUCUAACAAGUUUACUAAACUCUUAACGCACUAACCCACCCACGACACACAAUUUGCAAAACGAUUCAUUUCAUGCUUCAAGUCACACAUUGUAAACUAAACUCAGACCCUAAUUGCCAUAACACAAAAUACACUAAACAUUAACACCAUGUCUACCAAAACACUAACACACAUUCGCUUUCAACAGCUAUAUUUUGUCAAUCGUAGCGCAAUGUCAUAAAAAACACUAACAUCAGAUAGAACUACAGAAACUGCAUUCCAUUUGUUACAAAGCGCCAUCAUGGAGCGGUUGAACGUAUCGGCCGCCCAGUAGGACGUGUAAGACGAUGCCUACUGUGGCCACUGAAGAGUCUAAACAGAAAGUGGGUCCACUCAGUGAGAAAGGAUGAACGAAGCGAGAGGCAGGACAAAGUGAUCCAUGUUGUUGAUAAUUCAGAGGUGGACUUGCUGGUGUGUUUUGGAUCACUGUCCUGCUGCAGAACCCAAGUGCGCUUCAGCUUGAGGUCAUAAACAGAUGGCCGGACAUUGUCCUUCAGGAUUUUUUGGUAGACAGCAGAAUUCUUGGUUCCAUUUACCACAUCAAGUCUUCCAGGUCCCGAAGUGGCAAAACAGCCCCAGACCAUCACACCACCAUAUAUUACUGUUGGUAUGAUCUUCCUUUUCUGAAAUGCCGUGUUACUUUUAUGCCAGAUAAUGGGGUGAAUGUAGCAGUAUAGAGGUGCCACCCUUUUGGAAAUUAACACCAGGUGGCUGCAAUUAGGUGGGCCGGUUUAAAAGUAGCACGCCUCCACCAGCUCUUCCUCUUGCACCUCUGUUCUGUGAGGUGCGUCAUUUCCGGGCGACUGGAUGUGUGCUGCUCUGUGCUCCCGUGGCGUAUUUGCUUGGUGAGUGUCUCUCUCAACAUGGCGUUGUGGGUACUAUCUGAUGGCUAACCCUAGUGUGGUCACAGGUAAAUGCCAGCGACAGCCAGUGUCCUCUCCCUCCCUCUUCCUGUGUGUAAGCGUGUGUCCUAGAACAGGUAUGUGUGUUUAAGUAUACGCAAGCAACCAGUUUACUUUGAACCACUAACUGCAUUUUUUUCUGUAAUCAGGAGUUGUGAUCAGCAGAAUGGGGUCCCUGCUGUUUUCUCUAGUGAAGUUUGUCUCCACGCACUCGUCUCCGCUGAAGCUCCACCUCCAGGGAAGCUUCGUCUCCGCAGUGUUCUCCUGACUGAGCCUUGAUCUCCCCCCUGGAAGCAUUGUCCUACCAGCGCGGUGUGGUAAGACAGUGUUUCUUUGUAAUCAGCACUCAAGUCAAAGGAGCACCAAAAGUAUUACCUCCUCUGUACAGUUAAGGGUGGAGGCAAAAAGAGCUGCACUUGAUGAUGCAGUUGUACGUGCAUCAUCCUUAAAGGAAAGGCAUGCUUUGGAGGAGCAGCUGAGGAUGAAAGGAGAGCAGCUGAGGAGGAAACGAGAGCAGCUCGAUCUGGGAACCGAAUUAGCCGCUUCAACUGCUAUGUUGGCAGUAUUACAGGCCUCAGACCAAAGAAGUGUUACACAUGGACCCACAGAUGGCAUGGCUUCCUGUUUUGAAGGAAGGGAAGGGCAACCAUUGGACUGCUUAAACCCUAUGGCAGAGGACUACCAGCCCAAAGAAGACAAGAAACGACACCACUUGACAAAAUGGCCGGUACCUCCCGAUAAACCACAGUCCAUGGAUGUCCAACCAAAGGAAACGGAGCAACGGUCGAAACCUGCUUCGCAACAUCAGUGCAGCCCCAAUGACCAACAGCAGGAGAACAAUAUAUUGGGAAUGCAUCAUGGGCAGUACCAAUCAGGGACUCUGCAGUUAAAGGUGGAAGAAAGGCAUUCUACAACCUACAAUCUAAACGAGUCUGGAGACAUACUUGCCAUCAUGCACAGGCAAAAUGAAAUAACUGCUACACUUGUGCAUCAACAGUGCUCAUCAUCUCUGCCUCCACGAGAAAUUCCUGUAUUUGAAGGAGACCCUCUUCAGUACAGAGCGUUUAUCAAGGCUUUUGAACAAGGAGUUGAGGAAAAGGCAGGAAGAGCAGAUUAUCUUUACUAUUUGCAACAGUUUACAGCCGGACAGCCCAAAGAUUUGGUGCGAAUUUGCCAGCAUAUGGAUCUGGAGCAUGGUUAUGCAGUUGCUAUGGGACUUCUACAGGAACACUUUGGAAACCAGUAUAAGAUUGCAGCUGCAUACAUGGAAAAGGCUUUAGCAUGGAAAAUUAUAAAAUCUGAGGAUGUUAAAGCGCUUCAGGGCUAUGCCUUAUUCUUGCGUGGCUGCUGCAUUGUCAUGGAGGAGCUCCAGUACAUGCAGGAAUUGGAUAUGCCUGUAAACAUGAGAGCCAUUAGUCAAAAUGACCAUUCAAAAUGAGAGAACAAUGGAGGGCCACAGCUCACGGUAUCAUGGAAACCAGCAAUCAGAGAGCCCACUUUGUGGAUCUAGUCAUAUUUAUUGUGCGUCGUGUCAGAAUUCUCUCCGACCCUCUUUUUGGUGACAUACAGCAACCGGUGUUACUGGGACAAGGCCGUUCAACAGGUUUAAUUCCCAGCCCAGUAACAGAGGCUGGUGAAAUAUUGUUGCCACAACAAUAACUUCCAAAGACUGGCCUGAGAGAGUUACAGAAUCCGUACCAGAAAGUGCAAAGGCUUUGCUGUGCUCAUAAUCACUCAUUGGAAGAGUGUAAAGUAUUCAAAGAAAGGAACCACAAGGAAAAACGUAGCAUCCUGAGGGAACAAGGAGUGUGCUUUGCAUGUUUGUGUUGGUCAUAUGAGUCGGGACUGCGAAAGGCGCUUGUCUUGCAAAGUUUGUGGUAAAGGUCACCCCACUGCGCUUCAUAUUAAGAGGCAGUUAUCUGCUCUGGAAAAGUUUAAGGAACCAUAUAAUGACCAUCCGACUUCACUGGAAACAUGUGGACAUACAGGGGCCGGUAAGGACCGCUGUGUCCUAUCAAACAUCCCUGUCAAGAUGAAAGCUGCAAAAGGAAAUCACAUUAUCCAAACAUACGCCUUCCUGGAUCCCGGUAGUUCUGCCACAUUCUGCUCAGAACACCUAAUGCAGAGUCUGCAUAUUACAGGCAAAAGAACCAACAUCUUGUUGCAGACUAUGGGACAGGAAGCUGUUGUGCCAGCAUAUACGUUGGCUGGGUUGGAGAUAUCUGGCAUAGACGGCAAACAAUUUUAUACAUUACCCAAUGUGCUCGCACAGAAGAAAAUGCCAGUCACCACUCGCUGGAGUCCCAAAGCUUUAGAAAUGUCUUUGUAACCUUUUCCACACGGAUAGAUCUCAAUUACUUUGUUUCACAUUUCUUCCUGAAUUUCUUUGGAUCACAGCAUGAUGUCUAGCUUUUGAGGAUCUUUUCCAGGCAGUGUCACGACCCGGCAGGACACAAGACACAGACGCAGAGUUGUCACGGGAUUUGUACGGGUCUUUAUUGGAAAGACUGAAUCUCUCCAAGGCACGGAAAAUAAAUACAACUGUCAACAUUAUCUAGAACACACUUUGAGGAAGUGAGGCUACACAUAUGAUCUAAAGUCAUUCCUUUAUUAAAAUAGCGGGUAAGCACUCUUUCGGCAGAGGCAACAUCUCUAACAAAAACCCUCCUUAAAACUAAAGGCACUAUGAAAGAUUGUCAAAACAAAGUCACUCCUUACGGUUGGAGUGAACGCACACACACACAGGCAGAAACGAACAAACUGGCACAGGACAAAGGGAGACGCAGACUAUUAGUACACAUGGAGGGGAAUGGGGAACAGGUGGACACAAUCAGGAAUCAAGACAACCAGACUGGUGACACAUGAGGAAUAAUAAGUGACCUGAAACAAGAGUAGAGUUACUAUUUCAAAAUAAAACAGGAAAUGACAAGACAAAAAGACCAGACAAAAUAAAACAAACCCAACUUCACCGCGGUGUGACAGGCAGGUCCUAUUUAAGUGAUUUCUUGAUUGAGGCCUGGGUGUGGCUAGAGAAAUUGAACUCAGUUUUCCAAAGAUGUGAUAAAGCACUUUUUCACACAUGGCCAUGUAGGUUUGGAUUUUUUUCUCCCCUACAUGUUUGUGUUGGUUGAAGAAAAAUACUUUUUUUCCUGCCCUCCAUUCUCCCUUCUUCCCCAGUGUAAAGCGCCUCCCAAAAAGGCUGACAGAUGUGUUUAUAAAAUGGCUUUUCUGCAAGAAAAAAAGUAUUUUUUGGGGGGGAAAACCAUACUAACCAUACUUCUGUGCUGUUAAACCCACAGGCCACUGUACUAACCCUAAAAAGAAAUGACAAGAAGCGCGUGUAAAAAAAAAAAUAGCAGGGCGCCUCAUCCACAUAAUCAGUGUCAAUGAAAUGAAAUUCUUCCAUGCUUUCAAACAGGUAGCACUGUGUGAAGUUUAAAAUUCCACAGCUGUGCUUGUUAUGUUGGCGUAAUCCAACAUAACAAGACACAUGUGGACUGGCUAUGAGGCCUUGAUGACCCCUGAGGAUUAAAUGAGACAUUUUACCAUAUGGAUAAACAAUCUUUAGAUCCACUUCGAUACACAGAAUUUCACUUUCUGCUCUGGUGUCUGUAUUCUCCCUGACUUUUCCACGGGGAGCAGCUUCGAUGAAAGAUGUGUUAUCAAAACAUGUGUUGUCAAGUUAUCAGUGGGGGAUUCUUCUGCCCUUUUAGUUUCUCUGAGCUUUUGGCCGACCAGCUGGACUUUUUUUGCAGAAAAGCCAUUUCAGAAACAUGUCUGUCAGCCUUCUUUGGGAGGCGCAGAUAAGCGCUUUACACUGGGGAAGAAGGGAGAAGGGAGGGAAGGGAGGGCAGGGCAGAAAGGGGGAGAAAGGUAGAUUGACAGGCAAACAGGCAGAACAUUCAGAGAGAGAGAAGCACAGGGUGGAUCAGAGCAAAUAACCCGGGAUACAAACCGUGAAGUGCUGUUCAUCUCCGUAAAUGACACCAGCGGGAGAUGAUUACUGGGUAGAAGAUGAAUCUCAGGUCUCCACUGCUGUUGCCAGUCUGGGUGAAACCAAGUCGUUGACAUAUUCCAUUUCUUUAAUAAAAGAAAUCAAAUGGAAAUAAAAUAAUACAAAUUGUCCCUACAUUUCUUCAUAAUUCCAAUCCAUAAUUAUAGAUUGAAAGGAAUUGAAGCAUAGAGCAGCUGUGGGAACUGUAGAACGCAUGCAUCAUGGGGCGGCACAGUGCUGUGUUGGCUAGCACUGUCGCCUCACAGAGAGAAGGUCCCAGGUUCAAACCCGCCACUACGUUUCUCUGUGGAGUUUACUCCUGCAUAUUUGUGCAGGUACUCCUGCAUUUGCCGGCUAGGUUAAGUGGUGACUCUUAUAUUCCCCUUAGGUGAGUGAAUGAUUGUCUGUCUCUGUCAGCCUUACCAUUAGCUGGGUGUACCCUUUCUCCGGCACAGGGUUUGCUGGGAUUGACUCCGGCCCUCUUGAGACACCUCUCAGGAUAGUGACUGACCUCAUAAUUAUGUCUUUUUAUCUCAUAAAUGUUGUAACUUACCAUAACGUAAGUGGGAGAAUUAAGAUGUAGUUUUUCCUGCCAGGAUGUUAAACCUGUGCCUGAAUGCAUCAGGGAAGUUCUCCUCCUCACGUGGAGGAGCUCAUUGAACCUCAUGAUGGCGUUUCAACGGGUUCUGAGCACAUAAGACGCUGGUUUAGUGCUGCAGUGGGGAGUAGGAACAGAAAUGAGUCCUUCCAUUGAGGAUUAAAUGCUCUACGUUCGCUUUCCACUCGUCUCUUUUUUGAGAGGUGAGAUAAAAACAAAAUGGGGAGUGAAAAAUGACGUAAUGGUACAUGGCCAAUGUUCCCGCCACAAGGGUUUAACCUACGUCUCCCAACAUUUGCGAUAUGAGUGGAUUAGCUGAGUGUGAGAGUGUCCUUUCCAUUACUUUAGCCGGAAACAUUGAAUUACAAGAUGUGAAUGUAACAGCCAAAUAGUGUGAUGCCUCGUUCACAACAAUUAGCACAGAUCCAGUGGUCCACCAGUGAGAUGGUUGAUGGAACGUUUGGGAUGGAUUUCUUUCUCUUUUUUUGUUUUUGGACCAGAAAUAGUAUUUGGCAUUCUCCCUACCAGGAGUGGAAGAAGAUUAGAAAAGAAGUGUCAAGUUUUCCGAGGUGUACGUGAGUUCACGCAGUCGAAGGGAUGUAGAGGUUGGGGACCGAGUGAAGGAAUGUGAAAAGGCAGUGUUUUUGGUACAACAGGUAAAGCUUAGGCGACAGCUAUGUACAAAUAAUGUACAAUGGUGCUGAAGCAAAUAGCAAGAACUGAUGGCCAAGACAUACAUGCACAGACAGAAGGAAGAAACACGCCUAGAGAUGACGAAGGUAGUAAAAGAGUCUCCUUUCCCCCUGCCCAUCUGCUGAGUUAACUCUCCUCUUAUUUUUGCUGGACUUUUGGCCAGAACCAGAGUGUGAAAUUCUAAUCUCCAGUCGCUACCCUGUCAUCUAAAAGUGGAGCUGUCAUGAAUAACCGUGCACAGCAUGGAACAAAUAUUUCAAGAAAUAUGUGACUUUCCCCCUUUUUUUCAACCUUGUCUCUUACAGAAAUGUGUUUUCUGAUAAUAAUAGCCACCUAAGUUUGGUUCAUAGCAAAGAUUAUUCUUCCAAUGCAAGUGGAUUGACAUCAAGGAGUUGCAGGAAUUCAACGUUAUGCCCCCCAGCUUGCUGUAUCAAUUGUGCUGAUGUAAGACUUGUUUCUAAAAUGUAAAGGAUAUUACACUGUAUAUUCAGUACAAAUUAUAUUAUAGAACAUGUUUUGAUUGCAUUUUCUGGUUUAAUUGUAAUUAAAUGUAUUAAUUGAAUUAACACUUUCUCACUGCCAACUACUCAAACAAUGAUGCUUGGUCAGUCAGCCACAAACUAUGAAAGAACUUAUCUGAAAAGAUAAUGGUUUUGGGAUAAAACACGUCUGCCUUCUACGUAAGUUGUGUAAAGCAUGGUAAUUGUCUAACACAAGCAAGCUUUUCCCAAGGCUACGUUGUGUGAAGUUAGUGACCUUGUAAAUCAGUUAGCGUAUUAAAAUGCUGCAAAAAUACAUCCAUGAUGCAACACAUUUGCAUACAAAUGUGAAGCGAUGCGCACACAAAUGCAGUGCGAUCCGCCAAUAUAAAUCGUAAUUUAUUUAUGUGCGCUGUGGCAACCCACGGGCGCAACACUGGACAGCGCCUCAAGAGAGCAGCUCGAAGAGCAGGGGCACCAACGAGCAAGAGGUCAGGUGACCAAAAGGGGAAACACCCCGUCCCCUCAGGAGACAACGAGCGGCCCAGGUGCAGCUCAUAAGGCUGAUGAAGGUUGGCCACACUAUAAAAGACCAACCAGUCAACAGCCCAGCAGACAAGACGUGAGUAGAAGCUGGCUUCAUGCCGGGGUUUGUUUGCAAGAGUGUUAAAGCCCAUUUUUUUUGUGCUUCCUGCAGGAAGGAGACUGAAGGAACCAGGAGAGGGGUAAUUUGACGUCGGCGUAGGUGGGUCGCUUCUCCUCACCUCUCUGUCUACAUCUAACGCCAUCAAAAUGCUUUUUCAAUUAGAUUCCAACUGGGUUAUCGGCACAGCGUGUUUCUCGUUUACUUUCAUUGCCAGUCUCACUCAAGUUACUCCUUUUCCCCUGUUUUUAUUUUUUACCAGUAACUUGUAGCUGAGAGCUACACUUUCCGUCCCUGACAGUGAAGGCUUUUCAAAUCAGGGCGAUCCUUUGCCAUCCCCUCAAAAACACAUGAACAUACUGAAUUUCAAUUAUUAUUUCCUCUUGACUCCAAAAACGUCCAAUUUUACGAAUAAAAACAACAUCUAAGUCAGAUCAAAAAUUCAGUGUCUGUGACAUCAUGGUCCAUUAGAGGCCCAGGAUAUUGGAAAUUGUAUUUAAUAAAAGAUGGUCUUAUAGAUUACGUGGGGUACUGUCACACAGGUGUAGGAGAAGAACAACAUUUAUUGCCAAUAUUUAGAAGGCUCUUGGCAGAAUAUGAAUUUUCUAUGCCAAGAUGACAUGACAUAUAUUUGAGAAGGAGGAAGGACAUAAUCCAAUAAUCUUGGAGCUGAUGGCAUUUCUGUUCACAAUUUAUUAUAUAUAUAUAUUACAAUAAAUUCUAACUUUUAUUUUGCUUUGCUCCAUUGCUUUACGGAAACGGUGGCUGCGUCUGGUUGGCUAGUUCGCUCCCAAUCAGCUAACAGCGUGAAAUUAGAUAUUGACCGCACGGUAAACAGCUCCGCCUUCUGGUUCAGCUCUCUCUUCACCAAGACAGUCCGUUGCAUUGUCCGCCUGUCGAUUUCCCGAUCCAUCCUACCCUCAGCGGUGAACAACAGCCAGAGAUACUUAAAGUCCUUUUCUUGCGGUCUGCAGUCCGGAGAGGGCAGUCCACCGGUUUAAGCCCCUUGGCCUCAGAUUUGGAGGUGCUAUCCCACAUCCCUGCUGCUUCACACUGCUGCUUGCCCAACGAAUGCUGGAGGUCUCCAACAGGACUCCAUCUCCAUCAGCAGAGAGGUGAUCUCAAGGCUGCGCUUAGACAUUCUGUCCUUGAAAGCCACAAAUAGGACUUGUGAUAUGGGGCAGCCCUUUCUUAGGCCUAAACCACCCUGACCACCCUGAACUCUUACUGCAGUUAUAAAGAUACUGGAUAGCCCGUUGCAUUAGGUUUUGGCACCCAAAACCCCCCACAAAAACCCAUGAGGGACCCAGUCGAAAGCUUUCUCCAAGUCCACAAAGCACGACCCCCUCUAGUAGUCCAGUAGUCGUGGGAAAGAGCUAGUCCAUUGUUCCACGGGAUCACAACACCACUCCUCCGCAUUCCAAAUAUAAAGAAAUACUCCAUUUAUUGAUGUCCUGUCUUGGACACACAAUGUGCUCUAGGCGAGUCACCUGAAAAUACUCUAGACUUGCUCUCAGACUUGGUUCAACGGAGUCCUGUUUGUCAGCCCCUGAGAGUUGAGAAUGGUACACAGGAAAACACGGCUGCAGGACUUCUGGCUUCACGCUGGCAUAUAUGGCAAACGCGGUUAUAUAACAUCACCAGAACAGAAAUGACUGUACACAGACUUCAGGUCAUGACUUCAUAGCACGAAAUGAACCGUAUCUUAACCGUUAUCACAGAUAUUGUAUCUGUGGGGGAUUCAAGGGCUGUUGAGCAGCACUAAGCGGAUGGACUAUUUAGACAACUUGGCAGAUGCUGAGAUGUCUCACUAUUAAAACUGCUUUCUGGCACAGAUGAUCUUGCGGGCAACAGAAAACACCUUUUGCAAAAUCAAAAUCUUGUGGUUAAGGAUAUAAAAACUGAAAAUGUGAUCUAAUAAUUUAGAGGUUUUUAAUUUGUUUUCAGCCAGAAUGUUUCUAGAUUUCACGUAAUAAUGAUGUUUUUAUGACGGUCACGGCUAUCAGAAACACUAGGAUGUACUUUUCAAUAGUGAGUGGGUACAUUGCGUACAGCAUGUGUACACGUAUGCACAGAGCUGUGAUGCCCAGUACACUUUAUGGAGCUGUACACCCACUGUUUAUUGAUCUCAUUUUCUAAAAGAAGCUUCGCUGACCUUUCUUUUAUCCGUUUAAGGUCACAAACCUUAAACGGAGCGGUCACUGUGGAGGUUUGUUUAUUGAUCGCUGUGGUUUAGCUGAGGUAUCUCUAUAGUACGUGUUAUGAGGGAAUGCAGUAAUGUGUCAUGCAGUAAAGAUUUAGAUGAAGCUGGAUGCUUCUUUUCAGGCAGAUUGUUCCAUUUGUCCAGUAGCAAAGGAAUAAUAUAUUUGUUUUGUUUGUUCAUUUGUUCAUUUACCUCUCGCUGUGCUCUUGUCUCCAACAAAUAUGUGGAGCGGAGCGAAGUUGUAUCCAACAUAGUGGGAAAUUGUGAGGGUGUGUGACAGAACGGUUGGUCUUCAGCCCAGUGCACUAUGCAGGGAGGGGAACUAUUCAUAGGGGCUGAGAAACUAAAUAGGUGUUUGCAGUUCUGUGUGUUGUAAAGGUUCCAGGUGUGUACAUUUCAUUAGUAUUGGAUGCUUUCCUGACGGUGGUUAGCUGAUUAUUACAGUGGGCCAUGUGGAGGAAGACAUGUCAAUCAUAUUGACCUUCAGGGGAAAAUAAGGACAUCAGAACUGUUUUUUCCUUUUUGCAAUGACCUCAUACCCCCAACACACACACACACUUUUUUUCCUUUUUACUAUGGAAUUCUCUCUAUCAGCCGUGAGCCUAGAGAGAGGUUAUGUGGGUUAGGUCGUAUGUGUUGCUGACUGGACUGAGUGAAUGUGCGUUUCUGUGGCAAAUCCAGCUUUGAAAAAGUUGUUUGUUGUGGGGAAUAACACCUAUUAUUGAAAUGUAUUCAAUGUGGCAUAAUGUUAAAUGUGUGAGUGUGCGAGUGUAUGUAUGUAUGAUAAAUAUACCGCCUGUCUUUAUUUAGGCCAAAAUGAGGUUCCACCAAAAAUGUGCAGAUUUAAAUAACGUAUCAAAUUUGGGAAGUUGGCAUUUGAAAUGAACAUCACAGAUGUGGAGGAAAUACUCUGUGGUGGCGGCCUGAACACACCAGGUGAAGGCGCAGUAAAAUGCCGACUUGGUCUUUGACUCAGUUGGUGUUUUGUUGCCAGAUGGCUGGCGACUCCCGACCUUCAGACACCGCUCGCCUUCUGUCUGCUCACAAAACUCUUGUUCCGAUUGGAGGAAGAAAAACAGAAAGUCUCACGCUGACAUUUUUUUGUGAAAAUAGCUGUUAUCUCUAAAAUGCAGCGGCAUUGGAUUUUCUUUAUUCUCUUCCAGCAGCGUAAAUCCCAGCUGCUUGUUGAUCUCAGCCCCACGGAAAGAAAAAUGUCUGAAGUUGGUAAAACGCUCGUCUGGUUCGGGCCGCUUCCUAAACCUCUGCCUGGACCCCCCUGUUGGCUCGGCUAAGCCUGUUUUGGAGAAAACGCAUCAAGCUACAGCCAGAAGAAGUGAUGAGAUACCUUCAAGAGGAUAUGAGAAUGCUGUUGUCAGUGAUGUCACUCACAGAGCCUGAGGUAGAUGGUCCACAGUUCAUGCACGCCGCCUAACUGCAGCACGUCGUUCUGAAAGAACUACUAAAGGGAAACGUUGUGCUGAGUCAUGUCCGGUUAGGAUGCGACUGCUCUCGCUCUGUCUGCAACACACCAUCUGGGAUGCCAAAGGAGCAUUUUUUUCUUGUGGUGUGGCCCAUUAACUACUAUGGCAAGUCUGUCGAUGCUACUUUAAACGCAUUAUUUAGCGUCUGUAUGAGUCGCUCUAAGCUUUUCACUACACCAAACGGAAACCCAUCCACAUAAUUAUUAGAUGUGCAACUGACGACGUAGAAAGAGCUAGAAUGUCCGCGCAGGUCAGAUGGGUCAAACAACCGCAGUAGAAAAUCUCCAUUUAACUUAUAACCCCCAUAAUCAAUUUCAGAUGCAGAUAGCGUUUUUUCCCCUGGACUUGAUGAUGGAAGUAGUCUUCCCUAUCUUUCUCCUCCGUGGGGAGUUGCACGUGGGCAGUACCGAUCCUACAGGAUGUACGAAUCGGGUGCUGAGUUGCACGUGUUGUUGCUUUGUUGCUGAUAAAAGAGAUGGUAGCCUGGUGUUGGAUCGGAGGAAAGACUUACUUGCAUACUCAAGGACACCCGAUCCAGCAGUUUAGGCUCUAUCACAGGCAAAGAGGUGUAGGGACAGCUUCCAAAGAUAAAUGUCAUGGCAGGGAUAUUGUUUUGGACUGCAUCAUGAUUGUUCAGGCAUAGUGAAUAAAGUGGCUACUGGUUUCUGUUUUAAUGUGAUGAAGAUGAGUGGGGGGAAUGGCAUUUGGAAAUAGGUGGGCCAUGUACUGCUGUUAUAACAUGAGGAAAAUCUAUUAAAAAUGUUAAUAAAACAACCUACGUUAUCCAUGUAAUAUAUUUCCUGAGAGCUGGGUUAAAAAAAGCAUGCAUUUGAAAAAUGAAGCUUGGAAUCCCAUGAAUCCAUUUGGGGUGGCGGAUGAAGAAGUAAGAGAGGAGAACCCGUGUGCACCUUUUGGCCCUUAACCAGGGUAUGAUGUGAUCAUUUGAAAUGCCCGUUAUCCACUAUAUAGAACAUACAGCGCCUGAUGCCUCCAGUGUUUUGCAUUAAAUCUUAACACAGGAAUACUCAUCAUGAUACAAAAUGCUCCUGUGGAACUAAAUAUGAUGGUUGAUUGGAUCGGACGCUGGCACAUUUGUGUACUUCAAGGAGGUGAACCCUUUGAUCGCAGGGUAAGACAGCAAUGACGCAACAUUAGACCCCUCUGCUGGAUAUGUGGGCCACGAUAAGUGCCCCCGGGGUGGGGGGUGGAAAUCGCCUUUUUUGCCUAUAGUUGUUAUUCCUCACUAGACUUAAUGCGUGCUCUUUGUGCGCGCGGAGGAGAAAUGACAUCGGCUGUGAGUCGUUACCUCGUUUCUCAGGUGAUUAGUAUGAUUACGUCGGAGCUGCUGUUGUAAUUGCAAUUGGUUGUCAUGACCAAACAGCCUGGUAAAGAAUUUGAACAGGUUAGUUAUUUGCAGUAAAACGUCUAUUUGUCUGUCCUUCAGAUAUAAGACACGUAAGUUAUGUAACUGUGUACGACGCGCGUCCUACAAUUUUUUUUUUCUCAUCCAGUCCUCAAAGACCAAUGAAACUUUAUUGAUAUUUGCAGCCAGAGCAACAUGUUCCUUCGAGGCUCCCUGGAUACACACCACUUGGAACAGGAGGUAUUAAGGGUUGGGCAGCCGAGAGACAAGUGGUUAUAAACCAGAUGAACACAGGGUCCCUAAAAUGACUCAGCAGUGAAAUUCACUGAGAGGAAAACUGAAACAAUGAGCUCCAUGUGUCAUUGCCCAACGGACGCACUUUUUUUGUGUUCUGGUAGAUUAUUUCAGUGUUCCACUGACCUUAAAAGUCACUGAGGGUGAACUACUCAGAGCUCAGCUCCAAGCUCUUCUGGAGGUUUCACCUGCAUCCCAUUGCCCCAUUCUAAUAGAAACCAGGUGUCCUCUACAAGCACCCUGUGAAACUUUGCUCUUUCAUCAUCCUGAAUGGACCAUGAGUUUUAAAUCCUGUUUACUGGACAAAUUGUAGUCAACUAAUCUUCCUCCCCUCUUUGUGGUGCUUUAAUAUAUCCCAGGCACAAUCAAAUACAGUGUAUAUUGUAGCCCUCAUGUUUAGCAUCCUCACAUGAAGCACUCAAAAGUCUUAAACAUUUUUAAGCUAAAAUUUCCUAGAACUACUGGUGCGUUUAAAGGCGUCCUCAAGCGUUCUAGUGCUGAAAACCUAAAAUACAGAUGAUUUCUCAAAUGAGAAAAAUUCAAGACCCUUCAUGUGAAAAGUCACACGAUGCACAGCUUACGUGGUCUUAUGUCUAACAAGCAGAGACGUCAUGAACGUCUGAAGAAAGCAGUCUGAGCUCCAGGUCCACGCCCCGUUGUCAUGGCCACCGGAAAAACAUCAACACAUAGGGACACGACGACAACAUAACACACACGCUGUGACACUCUCUCAUAGCGUCGGUUCUCAGACCAUUAAAAACACCUGCUUAGCACCCGACAACAGGCAGAACUAGUUAGAGACCAGCUGGUAGGUGUCCUGGAGCAGCGAGCAGCGGAGCUGGUGGAGACCAAAAAGAGGAAACAAAAAGUAGAGGCAGCGUCAGACAACCAUCAAAACUCCAAAUGAAUCAUAAGGUUUCCCAUGUGGCGCGAUAGCAGGUCUCAGAGGUACUGGAUGCUGAACAUGCUGAUCAGAGAUUUGGCCUUCACCUGUUGUAUGUAUAGGACAGGAACUUAAUUGAAAUAUAAGCAUGUGGACUUUAGAGGGUUCCUUUUUCAAUGUCAUGCAUAUAUGUAUAGUUAAUAUAAAGCUGGCCUUGGUGUAUUGGAUGUGUGAUCAUUGCUAAUAACGGCUUCAUUGCUCAUCUCCAUCCAUCAGAGAAAUUGUGUUUAUUUAAUAAUAAAUAUAUUCAUUUUUAUUUAAUAAACUUUUAGUUUAGCUGCUAUGUGUUGUGGAGGCGGAAACGUUGUGUCUCUUAUACAACUACACACACUGAAUAUUUUGCAUUGAAGUAACAUUACAACAAUAAUACAAUAAUAGUGUUUGUGGUCUUCUUUCCCCACCCUGAAGCAUAUGUUGGUGGCUCACUAUGGCAGCAGUGUGGUUGCACAAGAGAGGGCAGGGACAGCGGAUUAGGAUUCACAUGAUGCUGGUACUUUUCUGUUACAUCUUUAAUGUUGCCCACAGCAAUACUGUUCAUUUUGUGGAAUAGCUACGUUCCUGUUAGGAAUGACCAUUAAGGGAAAAUUGUCUUUUAUUUCCUAACUGUUUGUUGCAAAAGCAGUCAGCUCCUCUAAGAUGCAGCUUAAGACUUUGUCUCUUUGACAAUGAUUCCAGGUAGGGCUUCCUCAGGUUACACUGCCUAUACUGCCGUGGACGUCUUAGCACGACACACCCAUUUCCUCUCUCUGUCACGCUCUAUCCUUCUAUAAUAACCUCAUUAAUUCACAUCACUAGGAGAGCUUCUUCCCCAGAGUAUUUGUGCUUUCUCUCCUCACAGGCUUCCAUGGAUCAUGGUUCUAUCUGGACUCCGUUCCUGCCUCCUGCCCUGCGACAACUACUGCUAUCGUCAUUAUUAUCAUUACAUAUAUUCAUUACAUUACUGUCAUCAUAAACCAACAUUAUUUCUUAUUUCCUGGAGUCUUUGUACUUUCCCUCCCCACUGAAGAAGCCCCCCCGAGCUGCUCCGUGUUUGCUGCCAGAUGCGAAGGUGCACCGCUGUGAUUAAUUAAGGUUCUGAUUUCAGUCUUUCUUUGGCACAAACAACACACACAGGUGUUGAUAGAAGGGAGGCAGCACCCAGUUUAAUAGUUAAAUACCAAAUUAUUAGGUGGAGAACUUCUGAGUAUCUAUUUGCAAUCAGUGGUGGGGGGAGGACGGCGUAGGGGGCGGAGUCAGUAUUUGUCCAAUAAUUAACACCUUAAAACCCUCAGUAGGAGGAUGCUGAGGUAUCUCCUCAGUAUGCUGCACUUAAUAAGCGCACCAUAUGCGAUAGCUUGCAAUUACAUUUUCUAUUUAAUGUUCAAUGGUAUUUUCAUUAAUCUAUGCAUAAUAUCACUCUGAAUAUCAUGCAUAAUAUCACUUUUCUCGUUAAGUUUCCUUCAUUCACUGGUGUUAGAAUAAAUCUUUACUGUUACAUUGUUUAGUUUUGUAAUCUGUAAUCUGUUUUGUUUUGUCAGUAUUAUUUAUUCACACUAACUAUUUUUCUAAUGAUUAAGUUUAAGUUUUUAUUCUAUUAUUAUAUGCUCAUCUAUUGUAAUCUUGAACCAAACCCUGGCACAAGAAGGUCCAUCGGGAUGGAUAAAGUUAUUAUUAGUUUCUCAUUUUAAUGGCCAAGAAGUUCCAAGCGGCUGCGCAAAAGUGAAAGGGACUGUGUGUGAUUACAUGUUGGCUUCUUUUCAGUAUGACCAGAGCCAGUACAGAAGGGGGGCUGGAGGGGUGCCAUCGCAUGUUGUAUGUUGGUAUAUUUGUUAUAGUACCUGCUGUCAGGGUUGAUGGGGGGAAAUGGGCGUUUCAGAGCUGGACUUCCACUUCCUGCCGGAUCGCCAAACACCAACAGUGUUUGGUAUUGAUUUAGUACCCUGUCUUGAUUGUCGAUAACUCUAAUUGCUUUUAAAAACAUUUCGAUAAUAAAAAUAAAAAAAAUAAUUCAGAACAGGAUUAGAAGUUAUACUUAAAUAUAGUUUUUUGAAUGUCAAUAGUGUUUACUAUAUACAAGAGCAAAAUUACUCUAUAUAAUAAUACAAUAAACAUAAAAAAUACACACGACUUUUAAAUUCUCCGGUAUUCUGUUCAGCUGCUGUAGAAACACUUUAAAUAAAUAAAUGACUGACAAGUAUUUUUAUUUUCAGGAGUUUAUCUGUUAAUGAUCACAUCCUUUUUCUAUGAAUGAAUCCCCAAAAUGUUGCACCUUGUUCCUUUUAAAACCUAUUUUUGUUUUGGAAAGACAUUGGUAUUGGACAUUGGUGUGGCACGGUUGCCGCGGGUUACAUCAGCUCACCGUUUACAUAUCAGUGCUCAGGGCCGAACAUGGCUGUGACGGAUUUCCGUCACAUACCGAUGUGGUGGAGAUAAAUGAAUGAACCUCAAUAGAGCUCAUCGAGUGUGAAGGUCACCGCGUCAGAGCGCUCAGCACAUCACCGCUCUCAUGGCCGUGUUUACAGGCAGGACCACACGACAUCUUCACAAUGCAGCACAGUUGGUGCACAUUUGGUGCACAUCAGGACAUGAAAUACAGGCUGUGAAAUAGAAGCUGAUGGCUGACACUGAUGUUUGGCAGUGUUAGCUGACAGCACACCAGUUAUGAGACAGCAGAUGUGACUGAGAACAGAGUCACUGCACAGUUAGCUUCUUAUAAGGGAAAGGCAAUUGAUGUAUCCAUCCUUUACCAAAGGGGGAAAUUGGUGAAAAUAGAUGCCUUCAUUUAACUGUAAAAUCAUGCUAUGUUUCUUUUUCUCUGCCGCAACAAGUAGGAAUAUUUGUUUUUAUCUCCACAUGCUAAUUGAAUGUUGUCACAUUGUCAAGAAAGUGAGAUUUUAUGCAUUUUAUAUCAUUCAAUAGCAUUUGGCAAAUUCUGAUGGCCAUGCUCUAGCAAAACGGAACAUGAAAAUGGGGGAGGCUUUAUGGCAACUUUGGUGACAAUUGCUCAAACUAUUUUGGGAGGCUUUUUAGUAUGAAAUUUAUUUAGCUGUAUGAUUUAUUUGAAAUGCACAGUGUUUAACAGGGAUGACCAGGCACAUGUCUCUUUUUUGCUACCAAUCACGCUUACAUUGAUGUUCUUAAUGUCACCACUGAUGAAUGUGCACUGUCAUCCUUGGAAAAACAACAACACACCAAAAAACCUGAUGCACCCUGUAUAUAUGGUAUUUUGCAGAGGUACUGAAAUGUUGUACUCAAGUACAAGUACAGUUUGCUUAAAUUGUACUCAAUUACAAGUAAAAGUACUAGUGUUAAUUAAUAAUUAUAAUAAUAAUAAUAAAUAUAGAAAAAUCACAAAAACAAAUCCAGCAGUAAAAUGCUGCAAAAGGAAAAUGCGGCAAUCACAAAAACGACCGGAGCACAUGGGACGCAAACUUCGAGAGGGAGGGAAACGCUGCAAGUACACUGAAAACACAACAGAAGUUCGCCAGGCCACUAGGAGGUCUCGACCUGUGGGAUAGUGGAUGGACUAUGGGAGAUCCACCACCAUGGCAUCGGGCCAGAGAGCAAAUGAGACUUUUUAAAUAAUACAAAACUAUUAUGUCCAGUAAAAGUGAUGCCAAAUAAUACAUGUAAAAGAGAAAGAACGGCCAAUGUGAAAUGCCCAGUUUCCCAUAGACCCAAGACUCAAUGCUGCCACAUGAAUGUCUUCUGAGACAGGCAUCAGCUUAGCAGUAGUGCUAAUAAACACACAGAGCGGUAAACUGCUCAAUGACUUGAUGGAAACGUGGGAUGUCUGCCCUGUCACCACCUCCCUGGACCGAGUACUUGACAUAGUUUCACUUGGAGAUGUGUCUUUGGACCACAGUUAGCUCCACAUUCACGUUCCUCCUGCGGUGCGCCAUGAAGGCCUUUAGCCUGAUGACGCUUUGAGUCCGAGUCACCCUCUCUUCCCCCGGCGUGUACCUCCUACUCGGUGCAAUCACAGCUGUGCUGUAACACAACCGUGCCAAAGUAACACAUAAUGCACUCAGGGGGGGCUCCAUACGGAGCACUUGGGAGAUCUCGUCUUCCUGUUACCUUCCACCCAGUCGGAUAGCUCCUUCCCUAUCUCCUGCCUCCUCGCAUCAACUGGCAGCGGUUGAGUUAACGGUCAGGAACAUGAACAACGUUAGUGAAGUUGAAGCUGUAGCUGCUUGUAACAUUAAUGUCAAAGUCACGGCUGCGGAAUUAUUGUGACCUCUUGUGCUUCAUUGAGCUUUUUGUUUUAUUAAGUGACUGGACUAAGAAAUCCGCUUUGGGUAUCACAGACGGAAGACACCGCAGCGUUAACGCCAAACUAACUUACGGGUUCCACUCCUAAAAAUUGAUGGUAUAAAAUAAGUUUCAUUGCUUUUAUUCAGUGCGUGUGGGCCGCCCUGCGUCGUCUGACUCAGGAGCACAGUCACAAACCGGCCUGCGACGACUAAAGAGGGAGAUUCACUCAACCAAGCUUGACAAAGUGUUCCAGAUGAAGAGCUGGAACUAAAUGAAGCGGCGUAUGGAGUCGGUGAGUUCAGCAGUGUAGGAAAGAGCGAUGUUGGUGUAGAGACACAAACCACCAUCUGAUCUUAAGGUGUGUUGUCUUUGACGUCAAUAGAACAUCCGGUUGGUGUGUUUCCUGUUUUAUUUUGUCCCUAAAGCCUCUCCUGUCAUUUCGGUUCCUCUCCUCGUGUUCCUCCUGAUUUCUCAUCACCCAGCCUGGAUUUCCAACUCACGUAGACUCCCCUGCUUUUUAUCUGCUUAGCAAUUUGAACCUCUUAUUUCCAGCCAAGAGCGAAACACGCUGUUCACAUACACGACUGACCUCAUGGAGUCCGUUCUAUUUGUAGUAGCCCCUUUAAUGUCUAAUGAUGAGUCCCUUUAAAAAAACACACUUACUCACUCUGUAGAAACAAACUGUGUGACUCAUGCUUAGUUGUUAUUCUCACUUCUCCAUCAUGUCGUCCUUCACCCAACUAAAAAUAAUUUUCUUUUGCUAAAGUGCUAGAACACGUGUGACAAUAAGCGUAGUUGAAUGCCUGAACGAGGUGUCA